CUCUCUCUCUCUCUCUCUCUCUCUCUCUCUCUCUCUCUAUGACUUGGUUUCAAGUUUUUCUUUGCCCCUUGGCUUAAUUUAAGCCGUUUCUUGUGGUUUUAAUUCAUGGAUUUGUAUUUUGAAUUAGAUUGUACAAAGGAAUGAAGUUUAUUUGCUUAUAUGGAGUAAAUUAAGAUGUGGGUUUCAUAAGUAUUGUGUUUAUGUGCAGAAAAAGAAGGAGCUCUCUUCAGUUCAUCCCGAGACAGUAGAAGCUCAAAAGGUUGCUGCUCAUUCGUUAGUUCAAUAGCUCAUUAUACUCAAAAUUUCCACUGUUGAGAUGCCGAAGCUGUGAGAUGAGCUCCUGAUCUAAUGAUGGAGGAGCGGUCUUUGAUCAUCACUGUCAUGUAUUGGACUGAAGGGAGCUCCUCCUUAAUUUACUUUUCACACGCAUACAACUAACUCAUCCUUUGUCGAGGAUUUGAAGAGAGCAGAAGCAGCUAAGGAGGGCAGCUUUCUCAGGGUCCAAAGCUUUGGGAGAUGCGUUGCAGCCUUGUGAAUCUUCCUUUAACACUAUUCUCUUUGUGUGUCUUACUAUCAUUAUUUUUUUUUUCUUUUUAAUUCAAAUAUUGUUGAAAUGAAAUAAUACUUUAAAUUUUAUUUGUUUCGCUAUAAACAUUAAUAUACUUUAUGCCUUAAAAUUUUAAA